UACGGAGGGGGCUAGCGUUGUUCGGAAUUACUGGGCGUAAAGCGCACGUAGGCGGACUGUUAAGUCGGGGGUGAAAUCCUGGGGCCUCAACCUCAGAAUUGCCUCCGAUACUGGCAGUCUCGAGUGCGGGAGAGGUGAGUGGAAUUCCCAGUGUAGAGGUGAAAUUCGUAGAUAUUGGGGAAGAACACCAGUGGCGAAGGCGGCUCACUGGCCCGUAACUGACGCUGAGGUGCGAAAGCGUGGGGAGCAAACAGG
rnacentral:rRNA from 1 species